GAUGAACGCUGGCGGCGUGCCUAACACAUGCAAGUCGAACGGAGAUUACGGACGGAAGUUUUCGGUUGGAGGCCAGUAAUUCUUAGUGGCGGAAGGGAGCGUAACGCGAGGGCAACCUGCGCUAUACAGGGGGAUUGCAGUUGGAAACGGCUGGUAAGACCGCAUAAGUCGGCGAGACCGCAUGGUUUUGCCGGGAAAUGAGCAACCAGGUAUAGGAUGGGUCCGCGUCCGAUUAGCCAGUUGGCAGGGGAAAAGCCUACCAAAGCAACGAUCGGUAGCCGGACUGGGAGGUCGGACGGCCACAAUGGGACUAAGGCACGGACCAAACUCCUACGGAGGGCAGCAGUGGAGGGUAUUGCACGAUGGAGGAAGCUCUGAUGCAGCGACGUCGCGGGAGUGAAGAAUUAGUUCGGUAUGUAAAGCUCGAACAGCAGGGGAGAUGAUGACGGUACCUGACGAAGAAGCCCCGGCUAACUACGUG
rnacentral:rRNA from 1 species